rnacentral:rRNA from 1 species
CCUGCUCAAUGACCCUAAAUAGCCGCUAUAAGUGCUAAGGUAGCAUAAUAAAUUGCCUCUUAAUUUGAGGAUAGAAUGAAAGGAUCUACGAUUCAUAAAUUAUAUAAGAAUAUUAAAAUUAAAUUAUUUAUAUAUGUAAAAAUACAAUUUCAUUUUAGGAGGACGACAAGACCCUAUCGAACUUAACUUUUAGUUAUACUGGGGCGGUCUAAAACAAUAUCUUUUUUACUCUCUCAAUCAACGCUUUUAUAAGAAUUAAAUCAAGUUACCGUAGGGAUAACAGCAUAAUAGUUUUCCAAAGCUCUAAUACAAUAAACUGCUUAUGACCUCGAUGUUGAAUUUAAUAAAUCUAUUUACUGAAAAAAGUAAAAAAGAAAGUCUGUUCGACUUAUAAAUCAUUACAU